rnacentral:rRNA from 1 species
UGGGGAAUAUUGCACAAUGGGGGAAACCCUGAUGCAGCGACGCCGCGUGAACGAAGAAGGUAUUCGUAUCGUAAAGUUCUGUCCUAUGGGAAUAUAAUGACAGUACCAUAGAAGAAAGCUCCGGCUAAAUACGUGCCAGCAGCCGCGGUAAUACGUAUGGAGCGAGCGUUGUCCGGAAUUAUUGGGCGUAAAGGGUACGCAGGCGGUUUAAUAAGUCGAAUGUUAAAGAUCGGGGCUCAACCCCGCAAAGCAUUGGAAACUGAUAAACUUGAGUAGUGGAGAGGAAAGUGGAAUUCCUAGUGUAGUGGUGAAAUACGUAGAUAUUAGGAGGAAUACCAGUAGCGAAGGCGACUUUCUGGACACAAACUGACGCUGAGGUACGAAAGCGUGGGGAGCAAACAGG